AUUGAACGCUGGCGGCAGGCCUAACACAUGCAAGUCGAGCGAGCGGCGGACGGGUGAGUAAUGUAUGGGGACUGCCCGAUGGAGGGGGAUAACUACUGGAAACGGUAGCUAAUACCGCAUACUAUCGGAUAACCCAUAUGGGAUUAGCUAGUAGGUGGGGUAAAGGCUCACCUAGGCGACGAUCUCUAGCUGGUCUGAGAGGAUGAUCAGCCAAACUGGGACUGAGACACGGCCCAGACUCCUACGGAGGCAGCAGUAGGGAAUAUUCGGCAAUGGACGAAAGUCUGAUGCAGCAAUGCCGCGUGAGUGAAGAAGGUCUUCGGAUUGUAAAGUUCUGUUGUUAGGGAAGCGUUAUCUAACCAGAAAGCCCCGGCUAACUACGUGCCAGCAGCCGCGGUAAUAC
rnacentral:rRNA from 1 species